GAGCCCCAGCCUCGCCGAGCCCGACAGCAGGAGCCGAGGCAGCGCCAUGAGCCAGAAAUGCGACGUGCUCGUGGUCGGGGCCGGCAUCUCAGGUCUGUCGGCAGCCAAGUUGCUGACUGAGUCAGGGCUGAGUGUUGUGGUGUUGGAAGCCCGUGACAGAGUUGGAGGAAGAACUUUCACUGCAAGGAAUAAGCAAGUCCAGUAUGUGGAUCUUGGAGGAGCAUAUGUGGGGCCGACACAAAAUCGCAUCCUGCGAUUGUCUAAGGAGCUAGGAAUAGAGACGUAUAAAGUGAAUGAAGUAGAACAUCUUAUUCACCAUGUCAAGGGUAAAAGUUAUCCCUUUAAGGGUGCAUUUCCUACUAUGUGGAACCCUUUUGUCAUCUUAGAUUUCAACAAUCUAUGGAGGACGAUGGAUGAAAUGGGAAAGGAGAUUCCUAAUGAAGCCCCAUGGAAGGCACCACAUGCAGAAGAAUGGGACAAAAUGUCUAUGCAAGAUUUCAUCGACAAAGUUUGUUGGACAAAUGCUAGUAAGAGAUUUGCAACACUGUUUGUGAAUGUGGAUGUCACCUCUGAGCCUCACGAGGUCUCUGCUCUCUGGUUCCUGUGGUACGUGAAGCAGUGCGGGGGGACAGGCAGGAUAUUCUCCACCACCAACGGUGGGCAGGAGAGGAAGUUUGUUGGAGGUUCUGGUCAGAUUAGUGAGAAGUUAAUGGAACGCUUAGGAGGCCGAGUGAAGCUAGAGAAACCUGUAGUCCGCAUUGAUCAAUCAGGUGAAAAUGUUAUUGUGGAGACCUUAGACCAUGAAUCAUACGAGGCCAAAUAUGUUGUUAGUGCCAUUCCCCCAAUUCUUAAUUUGAAGAUUCAUUUCAACCCACCAUUACCACCAAUGAGAAACCAGCUGAUCAGCCGGGUUCCCAUGGGCUCAGUCAUCAAGUGCAUGGUAUACUACAAAGAACCUUUCUGGAGGAAAAAGGACUACUGUGGUACCAUGCUCAUUGAAGAUGAGGAAGCUGUCAUUGGAAUGACACUCGAUGAUACCAAACCCAAUUGCAGUGUUCCUGCCAUAAUGGGUUUUAUUCUCGCUCGAAAGUGUAGAAGACUGACACAUCUCACAAAGGAAGAAAGGAAGAAGAGGAUCUGCGAACUCUAUGCGAAGGUUUUGGGAUCAGAGGAGGCUUUACAUCCAAUGCAUUAUGAAGAGAAGAACUGGUGUGCGGAGCAGUAUUCUGGCGGGUGCUACACAGCUUACUUCCCACCAGGGAUAAUGACGCAGUUCGGAAGGAUCAUUCGCCAGCCAGUUGGUAGGAUCUACUUUGCUGGCACAGAGACAGCUACAGAAUGGAGCGGGUACAUGGAGGGGGCUGUGCAGGCUGGAGAGAGAGCAGCUAGAGAGGUACUGUGUUCUAUGGGGAAAAUCUCAGAAGGUGAAAUUUGGAAGUCAGAACCAGAAUCAGUUGAUGUCCCAGCCCGGCCAAUCACUACUACCUUUUGGGAGAGAAACUUGCCGUCUGUACCAGUACUGCUAAGGCUGAUUGGAUUUUCCACUUUCUUCACUUCAGUGGCUGCUGUUGGGCUGUUUGCCUACAAAAAGGGGCUGCUAGUUCGAAACUGAGAAAGGUGCCAGCACAAAGCUGCAUACUUGUUGUGUUCUUUUUCCAAAGUUUGUUUUGACAUGCACUUAUCUGUCUUCAAAAGCAGAUCAGGACUGGUAACGGGGGUGGGGGAAAGUAGAGAUGCAACUUUAGAGUGAGGAUGAGUGGAGGGGUUUGGAUAAGAUAAAGACCCCCUGAAUAUUGACCUAUUUUUAGCACCGGUUCAGAUAAGGUAAGGACCCCCUGAACCUUGCCCACCACUGUUCUGAGAGGUUCCACUGUGUGUUACUUCACUUUGAGUUUCUAUCCAGGUCUGCAAAUGAAAAUGCCAAAAUACCGUGAGAAAGCUGUUCUUAUGAUAUUUUCAGCCUUUUGUACACUUGUAUCUGACCCAACCUGAACUCUGAACAUUUAAAGGCAUGCCCGUCCCUAAUUAUAAGUGGAAUAUUGCCACACUCAAGUUCUGGAGAUCUAAAGGACUUCAGUUGUAGCUUAAAAUAAUUUCUGAAUAAAUGCAAAUUGCAGGUGAGGGUCUUUUGAUGUAUUUUUUCCCAAAAUGCCUCGAGCCCAAACAGCACUUACAAAAAAAUGUAAGGCUAAAUUUUAAAAUCUUGUUCCAAACUGUGCAAGUGCUCAUGAGUUUGCCAAGAAUAUAAUUCCUCACUUUACAUUUCCAAUCACAUGUUAUAGACUAUGGACCCAGUGGCACGAAAGAGGCUAUAAAGCUGGCUUAAGUGGCAUCCUGAGGAUUCCCCCUGUCUAGCGGCUCUACAGCACCCUUAUCCCAGCUGGGUUCCAUAAGUCUGCUAUAGGUAGUGCCAGGGAUCAAAUUAACCCCCCUGUUGAUCCCAGGGAGCCAUGAAGUAACUUUUACAGCACUUACUUUUCUGCACCCUUGUCUAAGCUUUUUGGGGUAGGGGCUCUCUCUCACCUUGUUUGUAGGGUACAGUGGGCCCUAGAUCUCAGCUGGAACCUACAGGCACUACCAUAAUAAGUAAUAACUUUAUCCAGUGUUGAAAACAGCUUAUCUGGGCCAGAGAAUCUGAGCUCAUGUCUACGCAUUUUCCCAACAAUUAGUCCUUGAAAUAUAAAUGGAAAUCUCUAAAUAACAUUUCAAUUUGUAUUCCUUGGCAUUUAUGUUGUGUUGAGGGGUGCACCUGGAAUUGCGAGGGUGAUUUCUCUUAUGUUCUUCUGCUCUACAAAAAUAAAAAAAGCCCCUGCUCAGCUUUGCUUCUUGAUUCGUAUCACUCUAAAUUGGACUUUUUUAUAUGCACAAUUAAUAGAGUUUUCUCGAGCACACCUAUAGUCAUCUAAGAUGUGACCUGCCUCUCAGUCCUCUGUAUUUCACUUAGGAGGAAAGGUUAUUGCGGUUCUGCUCUUUUGAAUAUAAUUUCCAGAAGAAAGGAAUCUUACUACUUUACCUUAGCACCAUCAGUCAUCAUCAUUUUUUUUAAAAAAGCAAGACAAGGCAAGAGAAGAGCUUGAAAAUCCUUCCAAAUCACUAUAAAGCUCUGAUGUUAGUGAAAAGUAUCCAAUCCUUGUAUGUACCAAAGGCCCAGAACAAUGGAAUUCAGUGUAAGUGACAGCAGCAUGGUUUCCAGGGCUGUAAAAUCAUCUUCUUGUCCCUCAGUUCUUUUCUGGACUGUAAUUGCUUCCAAGAAGAAGUAGUUUCUACUUCCUGAGAGUGAGAGCAGCCAAACUGUGCUUGUUAGUCAGCCAUUCUUUGACAAGAUCUUAUCUUAAGCUUUCGGGCCUGAGUUUCAGCCUGCUAGCAAAAUGGAGUACAAUUUUUUUCUAUCACAUCUCUAGUCAGAUCUAGUUUUCACCUUUUGUGUACCUUUGAAAACUAUAUUAUUAAGAAAUGUACAAUCCUGUAGUGGGAGUUUUGGAAGUCCUAUGAGCAAAUUCUCUGCUGCUGUAAACGGACACGGCACUACUGACAUAAGUGAAACACUGAGCUACCAACAUUACAAUAUUUUCAGUUGUCCUUUUCUAUUCAACCUUCAGUCAAAGACUUUCUGGCAUUACACUAGUUAAUAUGAAGCUAUUAUUCCAUGCUACAUUGAAUGCCAUUCUAACUAUGCUCCAUAAAGUCUUCUCUUGGUGACAUUUCACACUGCUUGGCUCACAGUUUUAUGAGGAGAAGGUGUGAAUGAUUAAGCACAAGAUCAUUGCUUGCCCUACAUGCUUGCACAAAGGAAUGAGGGGGCAUCAAAUGUCUUGCACAGGUUACCUGCAUUGCAGCUCUCAGUGCAGAAAGGAGAGCGGCCUCUAAGGAGUCACUACUCCUCCUCCCACUCAGGUGUUCAGAAUGGGUAUGGGAAAGGUGGAACCCUGACUAAGCCCCACAGCAAACCAGUCAGCAUAGCUGAGGCAACAUGAAGAGAGGGAAGUAAUCUGUAUGUGGUUAAAGACUGGGGCAGAUUACUUCUCACUGGAGUAAGAGAGGAGCAGGGGACUGAAUUGUGACUUUCAACAUUUGUCCCUGGGGCAGUGCAGCUUGCACAUGGUAGACUGCUAAGCAACAACCUAGUCCUGUGGUAUCACCUCCAAAUCCAUAUGUCUGGUGGGAGACUUCACAAUCUAGCUAGUCAAGAUUUUGUAGGAUCUUUAAAACAACCCCCCUGAAAUCAAGAUUCGGAGGACAGCUCAUCAGCAGGGCGUUAACUGUAAAAGGGUCAAUUGCUCAACUAUGCAAAAUGGAGUCAGCUCUUCCACAUCAGUAGGAAUGCAGUACAAGUCCAACGGACGUUCCCAAGAUCUUAGUAACUAUUCAGGGGGUUGAAUCACAAAGAGAUCAAAUGGAGCCCUUAAGCUUAAGCAUGUACCGGUGCUUCUGUCCUUCCUGUUUUGGGGCCUUUGAAACAAUGUACACAAGAAUGAAAAAAAAAUUGUUGUCUGUUAUACACAGAGUGUCACAGUUCGGGUCAACUGCACCUCUGUUUCCUCUUACUGGUUCAGCAAGUGUACCCACUCUUAGGCUUCCUUUCCCCUAGCCAUUGCCUUUCUUAGUGUAUAGCUGUGUCUCUCUCCCUCCGGACUGGGGUAUUUCCAGGUUGAACAGUUCCCUGCCUUCACUGUAAUAUUCCCAGCAAACAGCAGUCUGCCCAGACAGGCCUGCUUGCUUUCUCUUCAGAGACUAAUAAUACAGUGAUUGCCAACAGCUAGAAGUUACUACACAGCACGUCCUAUGCAAGUCUCUUUUAUUCUUAAGGUAAAAGCACUUCAGAAAAAACACAUUAAAACAAUACAAAUCUCCAUGCAUACUAUAUGAUAUUACCAGAGAUCCUCUCCUCCAAUUGUCUCCAGCAUGAUUUCUAGCAAGUGAGUCCUUUACACCCCUCAAAUGAGUCUCUUUUUUGGGCACAAGUUCACAACAGCCUCAGCUCAGAACUAGCACACUCAUGUGGUUGGAGGUCUUUGAAUUGGAGUUUUCAGAAGCAGGUAAUCAGUAUACAAUUGGUUUCUCUCUCCAGGGCAUAGUUUCAAAAGGAUGGAUUUGAGG